AGUGAACGCUGGCGGUAGGCCUAACACAUGCAAGUCGAACGGCAGCACAGUAAGAGCUUGCUCUUACGGGUGGCGAGUGGCGGACGGGUGAGGAAUACAUCGGAAUCUACUUUUUCGUGGGGGAUAACGUAGGGAAACUUACGCUAAUACCGCAUACGACCUACGGGUGAAAGCAGGGGAUCUUCGGACCUUGCGCGAUUGAAUGAGCCGAUGUCGGAUUAGCUAGUUGGCGGGGUAAAGGCCCACCAAGGCGACGAUCCGUAGCUGGUCUGAGAGGAUGAUCAGCCACACUGGAAGUGGGACACGGUCCAGACUCCUACGGGAGGCAGCAGUGGGGAAUAUUGGACAAUGGGCGCAAGCCUGGUCCAGCCAUACCGCGUGGGUGAAGAAGGCCUUCGGGUUGUAAAGCCCUUUUGUUGGGAAAGAAAAGCAGCAGGUUAAUACCCCGCUGUUCUGACGGUACCCAAAGAAUAAGCACCGGCUAACUUCGUG
rnacentral:rRNA from 1 species